rnacentral:rRNA from 1 species
UACGUAAGGAGCGAGCGUUGUCCGGAUUUACUGGGCGUAAAGGGCUCGUAGGUGGUUUCUUAGGUCUCACGUGAAAUUCCCUGGCUCAACCAGGGAGGGUCGUGGGAAACCGAGAGGCUAGAGGGCAGGAGAGGAGAGUGGAAUUCCCGGUGUAGCGGUGAAAUGCGUAGAGAUCGGGAGGAACACCAGUGGUGAAGACGGCUCUCUGGACUGUCCCUGACACUGAGGAGCGAAAGCCAGGGGAGCAAACCGGAUUAGAUACCCGGGUAGUCCUGGCCGUAAACGAUGGGUACUAGGUGUGGGGGGUUCGACCCCCUCCGUGCCGCAGUUAACGCAUUAAGUACCCCGCCUGGGGAGUACGGCCGCAAGGUUGAA